UAGGGAAUAUUGGACAAUGGGGGCAACCCUGAUCCAGCCAUGCCGCGUGAGUGAAGAAGGCCCUCGGGUUGUAAAGCUCUUUUGUCCGGAAAGAAAAGCUUCGGGUUAAUACCCCGGGGUUCUGACGGUACCGGAAGAAUAAGCACCGGCUAACUUCGUGCCAGCAGCCGCGGUAAUACGAAGGGUGCAAGCGUUACUCGGAAUUACUGGGCGUAAAGCGUGCGUAGGUGGUUGUUUAAGUCUGAUGUGAAAGCCCUGGGCUCAACCUGGGAAUGGCAUUGGAAACUGGGCAGCUAGAGUGCGGUAGAGGGUAGUGGAAUUCCCGGUGUAGCAGUGAAAUGCGUAGAGAUCUGGAGGAAUACCGGUGGCGAAGGCGGCCCCCUGGACAAAGACUGACGCUCAGGUGCGAAAGCGUGGGGAGCAAACA
rnacentral:rRNA from 1 species